rnacentral:lncRNA from 1 species
CCAUAGUUGAGUCGGUUCGCUGGAAUUCAGAUAAGCUCGUUGAGGACAGAGCUUCAGGCGCGCAGCGGCGGCAGCAGGGUGACAGGGGCAGCAGGCAGCGAUCAACUGAUGCAGGGGGAUGGUCCAGGGACAGAUGGAUGGCUGGGGCAGCCUGGGCAGCGUCGGCCACUGCAGCGAAGCAGAGGAACCCGCGGCCGUCGCGCUGCCGCUGCACUGCUCGUUUACAUGGUGGCAACCCUUGGUCGGGGGAGGGGGUUGACGCGGCGCUGUGACUAGAGAGAGGGCAAGGAAGCGGUGACGCGACGGCUCGGCUCCCGCGUGCAAAACAUGCGUUCUGGGGCACACCAAUUGCAAGCUCUAGCGCUCC